UUUAAGUGCAACCAUAAGUUUCCGCACCUAACUUUGAUCGUCCGUCUACUUUUGAAAUUUUUUUGUAAUUAGUAUUUUUGUUGUUAUGAGAUGAUAAAACAUGAAUAGUACUUUACUCGUGACUUAUGUUUUUAUAUUUUUUCAAAUAAGACGAAUGGUCAAAGUUGGGUACGGAAAACCAUGACUGCACUUAAA
rfam:Oryza meridionalis cultivar OR44 (W2112) chromosome 12, whole genome shotgun sequence.